ensembl:lincRNA
UGUGCUGAGUCCCCGGGCGCCUCCACGCCGGAGACGCCGACAACAAAGAGGCCGCGGGCGACCCGGCUCGGUCCAGCGCAGCUGCUGCCGGAGCCGUCACGCCCGACCCCUCUUGAGUCCCCUUUCCUUGUGUGCGGUCCGGGGGUCGGGGCUUCCCUAUCCCGAGCCUGUCUUUCCUAGCUGUUCAGAUGGCCCCGUCUUGCAGAGCAUUGAAACUUAGGACCCGAGAUGCCGCGGUCUCGGCUGCGUGUCGGAGGGCCUGGGUAGUGGCGAGCGGACGAGAUAUACAGUUUCCCAGCAGCCUGAACUCUCCCGGCGUUUGGAAAUUGCCCUGGUUCGGCCUCUGGCCUCUGUUGGCCACAAUCCGCCCUCGCAGCCCGAGCACACCGGGGCCCGGGCGCACCCCAGCCAAAGAAACCGAGAGGCACCGCUCUGGGCUGCUUCCAGCAGGAGAUGGGGGGGUGUUGUGUUGCGCUAUACCGGAGAAAGGUGCAGCUGCUCUCGCCAGUGGUCUGGAUCAUUCCUUCUUGACAACACCAGAAGAUGCAGAAGGAGCAUGUUAUACAUCGCUGAUUUCCAACAUCUGUUACUCACCUCAAGAGGAGUCUACAUAUUUCACUGGGAUUCUUCAGAAGGACAAUGGUCACAUCACUACUUCUGAGAGCCCUGAGGAGUUGGGGACCCCUGGACCGUCCUUACCAGAGGCGCCUGGCAUGGAGUCUCGUGGCUUAUUUAGUUCUGAUUCUGGAAUAGAGAUGACUCCUGCAGAGUCCACUGACGUGAACAUGAUCCUAGCAGACCCUCUGGGCCAGAUGAAGGCAGAAGCCUGCAAGUACAUUGACAUCACCAGGCCAGAGGAGGUGAAAUGUCAAGGGCAACGUCUCCCUGACUUGGAGGAUAAAGACUUGGACUUUAAAAGCAAGGACACUGAAAUCUCAAUAAAACCGGGAGGCGUCCGUGAACCUGACACACCAGCUCCUGUGGAGGGGAAAGUCAUCAAGGACCACUUGUUUGAAGAAUCCACCUUUGCUCCUCACACAGAUGACUUCUCUGAGGAGCAGCAUACUCCCCUGGUGACAGCCCCCAUCAGAAUCACGCUGACUGAGACUGAGCCUGCUGUCACGACUUACAUCCAAGACAAGACCCCAGAGAAGCAGGACGUCUGUCUGAAGCCAAGUCCUGACAUGGUCCCCACUGUCACUGUCUCAGAGCCUGAAGAUGAUAGUCCAGAAUCUGUCACUCCUCCUUCUUCUAGUACAGGUAAAGGCGCUGGGAUUCCCUGCCCUGAGCUCCAAAGUACUCACCUGGAGUAGAGACUCGUAUCUAAAGUAUUUGACUUUGUGGGCCCCUCAGCUUCCCUUAGUUUUAGCAUGUCACCUUUUCAGGUUUGUGUCCACCACAGAAAGGUUGAGAUCCAGUAUUGGCCCUAAAGUCCUGUCACAUUGUCCUUGUACAAUCUUUCUUCAUCAGAGGGGGAAGCAAACAUUAACACACACACACACACACACACACACACACACACACACACACACACACACACACA